UUAACUUAUUUGUAUAUUACUCGGACAACACAAAAAUCAAGAGUUUAGGGUCCUCUGGCAGGCACGGACCAGCCUAAGCCAGUGGUCAUAAGACGGGCCUGCCAAAGCAACAAAGGUAAUGUAAACAAAGGGUGGGAGAUCUACCCCAAAGGGCAAUUUCUCUGUAAUGAUCCUUCCGCAGCAGAAGGAUAGCUGCAAUUUCUAGCAGCCUCCCGAUUUCUCUGUAAUGAUCCUUCCGCAGCAGAAGUAUAGCUGCAAUUUCUAGCAGCCUCCCGAUCAUAUCUUAACCCUACCUGGGCCACCUCCAUUUGACCUGUGGGCCUAUUGCUAGGCUGCUGGUAUUACAAAUGUAAAUCCCAGCACAGUGGAGAUGUUGCCUGCUAAUACAGACUUUCUAUUCUGGUGAACCUGGAAGAGAUGUUCACCUACGGAAA
rnacentral:misc_RNA from 1 species